UAGGGAAUCUUCCACAAUGGACGAAAGUCUGAUGGAGCAACGCCGCGUGAGUGAAGAAGGUUUUCGGAUCGUAAAGUUCUGUUGUUGGUGAAGAAGGAUAGAGGCAGUAACUGGUCUUUAUUUGACGGUAAUCAACCAGAAAGUCACGGCUAACUACGUGUCAG
rnacentral:rRNA from 1 species